rnacentral:rRNA from 1 species
UGGGGAAUUUUUCGCAAUGGGGGAAACCCUGACGAAGCAACGCCGCGUGGAGGAUGAAGGCCUUCGGGUCGUAAACUCCUGUCGACCGGGACGAAAGCAGUCCGGCCUAAUACGCCGGGCUGUCGACUGUACCGGUGGAGGAAGCCACGGCUAACUCUGUGCCAGCAGCCGCGGUAAUACAGAGGUGGCAAGCGUUGUUCGGAAUUACUGGGCGUAAAGGGCGCGUAGGCGGUCGCGUAAGUCCCGCGUGAAAUCCCUCGGCUCAACUGAGGAACUGCACGGGAAACUGCGCGGCUUGAGUUCGGGAGAGGGAAGCGGAAUUCCGGGUGUAGCGGUGAAAUGCGUAGAUAUCCGGAGGAACACCGGUGGCGAAGGCGGCUUCCUGGACCGACACUGACGCUGAGGCGCGAAAGCUAGGGGAGCAAACGGG